AAUUGAUUCUCUGCAUUUUAUUUCUCUGUGGUGAUGAGAGCUCAUUGCAAUUGAUCACAAUGGGUGCUCCUCAGCAGGUGGAACCGGCCCCAGGUACUCCCUCGGUCACAAGGGACAAAAGAGUGACAGGAAUCAUAACGCAGAAAGGUUGACACAACGUCAGAAAUUAGGUUUUCUUGUGUAUGGCGUCGAAAAGGAGAAACUUACGGAUUAUGUAUAUCACAGGACAAACUGUUCUCUUAAUUGGUGCCAAUGGCAAGGAAAUCAUUAACAGAAAUUCUUUCAUGAAUGAUUUCCUGUUCAGUAUAAAUAAAGAAGAUUUUGACAAUGGAAAAUAUUUAUAAUUGCCAAUUGACUGACAGAAUGGAAAAGUAUAGAUAUCAGAUAUAUGAUAAGACAGACUACCAUGGUACAGUGGGAAAUAAUGGGCAUCUACUCGAGAUAAUGGUCUCUUCUUGUCAAAUAAAAUUCCUUUGAAAGAAGACAUUAUUCUAGCCCGUUCUAGCGUGGGUGUUCAUGAUGUUGAACCAAUCAUCAUGUGCAUAUAUUUCACGUAAUAGUUUUUAUAAUCUCAUUUGUUUUUUAUUCUUUAUUUACAGAGAUUAUUUUAGUAAAAUUAAAGGUAACAUAUAAUUUACAGAAAAGAGGUGCAGUUAGUAUAUAUUUUUGUAAUAUAUGAAUAAAUAAAGCAGAAUCUUAUGCCUUAGCUAGAGAACUACAAAUUUAUGAAAUGUGGCAAUCCUUAUCAUAGAUUUAACAAAAAAAAAUAAAGAUCCAGAAAAGAAUUACUUUUGUUAUUUAAGAUAAGAUAUACAUGCACAGGAAAUGCUAUAUAUCAUAGUUGCCACAGACUGCAGAAAGUGCUUUGUGUCAUAGUUAUUAGCUUCAUAGAAUAUUUCAUAAAUACAAAGAGUGAGAGAGAGAGAGAGAGAGUGAGUGAGUGAGUGAGUGAGUGAGUGAGUGAGUGAGUGAGUGAGUGAGUGAGUGAGUGAGUGAGUGAGUGAGUGAGUGAGAGUGAGUGAGUCAUGUUAUUUAAAGCAUAUCAAGGCAUUUUCCCCCAAAAAAUGUAUGCAUGUGACAUUAUGCUUCCUUUUAUAUAAAGUAAAGUUUUCUGCUCUUGUUUGUAUCUUCAAACAAGAAUAGAACACAAUGCCUAUGAUACACCAAUAGUGUUUUCAGCUGCAUUUGAAAAGUAAGUUUGAAACCAUGAAUAUCUAUUGAUCUACAAGAAGAAACUUGGGAUAUCUACUUCAAAAAAAAUAAUAUGUGAUA
rnacentral:lncRNA from 1 species